rnacentral:rRNA from 1 species
UACGUAGGGGGCAAGCGUUGUCCGGAUUUAUUGGGCGUAAAGAGCGUGUAGGCGGCCAGGUAGGUCCGUUGUGAAAACUCGAGGCUCGACCUCGAGACGCCGAUGGAAACCAUCUGGCUAGAGUCCGGAAGAGGAGAGUGGAAUUCCCGGUGUAGCGGUGAAAUGCGCAGAUAUCGGGAAGAACACCCGUGGCUAAGGCGGCUCUCUAGUACGGUACUGACGCUGAGACGCGAAAGCGUGGGGAGCGAACAGG